UCAUGAAACAAACAGCAUCAGAAAUACUACUAUUAUUCAUCAAUCAAUUCUCAUUUUUAUCGAAUACAUACACUCGCUCCUUGCUGAUAUCAAUAUGAUGACACUUCCAUCGACUCUAUUAAUUAUCUAGCGGCCGGGUCUAUCUUCCUUGGAAGUUGGAACUCCUUACUCCGAACCCUGCACUCCAAUAUCAUCUAUGACUUGCAGCAAUCAGUUUACGCGACACGGCCUAGGCAUGGAAAAGGAUCGAAAGAGUGUUAGCACUUAGCAUGAACAAACUAAGUAUAUUACCUGCAGAAAAUAUUUCAAUUGCGCAUAGAGAAUUCGUUAACCUACCAUGCUGUUGUUGACGCAUCUGACAGAAGUGUUUAAGCUGAACCACCUUGUCUUCGCUGUACUCCUUCUCCUCUCUAGGCGUGAGCAGCUUGAUAACGCAGUGCAUGUUCAUCUGAGGCACAUCUCUUGCGGCCUUGCAGCAGGCACCAUGCAGUUCUCUAGGGAACGGAUGGGGCGGCGGUCCAUGGCGGAUGAACUCCUUGCACUGCUCCAGGAUGGCCUCCUUGUGCUUCUCAGUACAUGUAUUACCCAUGGCUAGAUGGGGAUACGUUGCCACUACGCAGACGAGCAGUAGAGCUGCUACUUUCUGGAGGAACAUCUUAGCAGGAUCGAUCUAUCUGUCACUUGUAAUCCAAAAUGUGGUGACUUG
rnacentral:lncRNA from 1 species